CGGCUCGAUAUAUUUGGUGGCGGGUUCGGAUAUAUGUUGAUUGGAUUUAAUUCCCUUGGCUGAAAUCCAUGAAGGCACGGGAUCUACAGAGCAACUGUAUUGGUGCAGUGAGGACAAGACAUCUCAGAACCAACAUACAGCUGACAGCAGCCCUUCAAGAAGUACUUUAAGACUCUGAUAUGGGAUUCACCAUUACCACAGCUUCAGAUUCGAGUCAUCGGAACGUGGCAUUUUUCAGACUGGAACAUGAAAAAAGCAAACAAU